rnacentral:rRNA from 1 species
GAUUUUGACUUUACUUGGAGAAAAAGCCCUGGCAAAUUUCGUGCCAGCAGCCGCGGUGAUACGAAAAGGGCUAGUGUUAUUCGGAAUAAUUGGGCGUAAAGGGUGAGUAGGCUGUAAUCAAAGUUAAUCAUUAAAUCUUAGUAGUAAGUACUAAAUCAAUUUUUAAUAACAAGUUACUAGAGUAAAAGAGAGGAUUGUAGAAUUUCAAGUGGAGAAAUAAAAUUCGUAGAUUUUUGAAGGAAUAUCGAAAGCGAAGGCAACAAUCUGGCUUUAUACUGACGCUGAUUCACGAAAGCGUAGGUAGCAACCGGGAUUAGAGACCCCGUUAGUCUACGCCGUAAACGAUGAGUACUCAUUUUUGGAUAGAAUAUAUUCAGAAAUUUAGCUAACGCGUUAAGUACUCCGCCUGAGAAGUACAGUGGCAACACUGAAACUCAAAGGAAUUGACGGGGAUUUAUACCAUUCGUGGAACAUGUCAUUUAAUUCGUAAAUACACGCAAAACCUUACCAACUUUUGAAUAAUUUUGUAUUCUAAUGAAGAAAUUUGUUAUGUUAAAAAUUACAGGUACUGCAUGGCUGUCGUCAGCUCGUGUCUUGAGAUGUUAGGUUUAGUCCAGUAACGAGCGAAACCCUUCUUCUUUGUUGCAAAAGACUAUUUACUCGGUUGUAUCAAUUGAGUUAUAUCUGUGUACUUAAAGAGUAUUGCCUAUGAUAUAUAGGAUGAAAGAAAGGAUGACGUCAAGUCUUCAUGGUCCUUAUAAGUUGGGCUAUCGAUGUGUUACAAGGGUAACUACAGUGAGAUGCAAUAAUGAAAAUUGAAGCAAAUCUAUAAAAGCUACCUCAGUUCGGAUUGUUUUCUGUAACUCGAAAACAUGAAGUUGGAAUGAAUAGUAAUCGUUUAUCAGCAAGGAACGGUGAAUUUGUACCUAAAUCUUGUACAUACCGCCCGUCACAUCAAGAGAGUUUGCUUAAUUUAAA